rnacentral:rRNA from 1 species
GACGAACGCUGGCGGCGUGCUUAACACAUGCAAGUCGAACGGAAAGGCCCUGCUUUUGUGGGGUGCUCGAGUGGCGAACGGGUGAGUAACACGUGAGUAACCUGCCCUUGACUUUGGGAUAACUUCAGGAAACUGGGGCUAAUACCGGAUAGGAGCUCCUGCUGCAUGGUGGGGGUUGGAAAGUUUCGGCGGUUGGGGAUGGACUCGCGGCUUAUCAGCUUGUUGGUGGGGUAGUGGCUUACCAAGGCUUUGACGGGUAGCCGGCCUGAGAGGGUGACCGGCAACAUUGGGACUGAGAUACGGCCCAGACUCCUACGGGAGGCAGCAGUGGGGAAUAUUGAACAAUGGGCGGAAGCCUGAUGCAGCAACGCCGCGUGCGGGAUGACGGCCUUCGGGUUGUAAACCGCUUUCGCCUGUGACGAAGCGUGAGUGACGGUAAUGGGUAAAGAAGCACAGGCUAACUACGUG